CCUACGGGGGGCAGCAGUCGAGAAUCAUUCACAAUGGGGGAAACCCUGAUGGUGCGACGCCGCGUGGGGGAAUGAAGGUCUUCGGAUUGUAAACCCCUGUCAUGUGGGAGCAAAUUAAAAAGAUAGUACCACAAGAGGAAGAGACGGCUAACUCUGUGCCAGCAGCCGCGGUAAUACAGAGGUCUCAAGCGUUGUUCGGAAUCACUGGGCGUAAAGCGUGCGUAGGCUGUUUCGUAAGUCGUGUGUGAAAGGCGCGGGCUCAACCCGCGGACGGCACAUGAUACUGCGAGACUAGAGUAAGGGAGGGGGAACCGGAAUUCUCGGUGUAGCAGUGAAAUGCGCAGAUAUCGAGAGGAACACUCGUGGCGAAGGCGGGUUCCUGGACAUUAACUGACGCUGAGGCACGAAGGCCAGGGGAGCGAAAGGGAUUAGAUACCCGAGUAGUC
rnacentral:rRNA from 1 species